GCCAGUGUGGUGUAGUGGUUUGAGCACUGGACUAUGACUCUGAAGAUCAGGGUUCGAUUCCCUGCUUGGUCG